rnacentral:tRNA from 1 species
CGGAAAAUAGUAUAAGCUUAUUACCAGGUGCUUACAACACUUAAAUAGAAAAAUUUUUUCUUUUUCCGA